UUAAGUUCAGCGGGUAUCCCUACCUGAUCCGAGGUCAACCUUUGAUGGGGUAUUUAACGGCCGAAUCGCCCAAUCUCGCUCGCGGAUAGUUGCCACAACGCUUGGAGACGGACGGCUCAGCCGGUGACUUUGAGAGGCGCGAUCGCUCGCGGCCCCCAAUACCAAGCUAGGCUUGAGUGGUGUAAUGACGCUCGAACAGG
rnacentral:misc_RNA from 1 species